UAAUCGAGGAAAUAAUCGACAGAUUAAUCGACUGUGAAAAUAAUCGUUAGUUGCAGUCCUCGUCCUGCAUCCAGUGGAAAUCCACAGUGACGUUAGCUUGCGUUAGCGUGUGAAUUGACGCCGUAGCGAGAAGUAUGAAAGGGCGGGAAGGUUGGUCGUGGCGGAGGAUGGGUCACACACAGAUAACACGCCACGUGGCGUUAGACAAGUGGCGUGUAUGUUUACGCUGUCACGUCACGUGUUCCCCGAGGCUUUUUAGACUUUGUUUUUUUUUUCCGAUUUUUUUUAUUUUUUUUUUGGACAUUUUUUUCCAACAUUUGUGAGGCUUUUUAAAAUGUUUUGAUGCUUUCUUUUUUAGCGUUUGCAGAAACGCAGCUUGUCUGAGGCUUCCUGCGUAAGACGCAACGUUUUAACAAACUUUAUCAAACGUUAAAACGUUUUGCAACUCAAAAAGAACCGGAUUAGCAGAACUAAUGUGGAACUGAAACGUAGUGGUGUGAACGGAGCCUCUGUGGGUCCUGGUCUCUGUGGGUCUCUGUGGGUCCAGGUCUCUGUGGGUCCAGGUCUCUGUGGGUCCAGGUCUCUGUGGGUCUCUGUGGGUCUCUCUGGGUCCUGGUCUGUGUGGGUCCUGGUCUCUGUAAAUAUAAGUGAAGUUUUCUCUCUGUAGGUUUUUUGUCGUCUGAGUUUAUUUUAUUUUAUUCCGUCUUCUAUUUUCUUCUUCCUGUAACGAGUGUUUUUCAAUAAAAAAU